rnacentral:lncRNA from 1 species
AAAAACGUCUCGUUCGUUCCCCUUACUACCCCUCCCAUCCCGUCCUCCAAGAGAAUCAACUAUGAAACACGAAAGUCCAGAGGUAAAUACUUCCAUAUCUUCUUUUGUCUAAAAGCCUCCGUAACACGCCCAAAAAUAAAUACAGAGAGGAAGACAGAUGAUGUAGGCAGGUCCCCCCACCGCCCCUGCAAAAUCGCAGCCCCAGCCCCCGGGGGGCCGCGCUCGGGGAGCCCCGCGCCCGCCGCCCGUCGAGCGGCCCGGGACGGCGGCCCGGGGUGGCUGGGGGCCCGGGGAGGCUCGGUCGCUCGGCCGCCGCCGCUGGCCGCGAAGUUGGCGGCCGCCGUGCCCGGGCCUCCGGGCACCGUCCGAGGGUGCCGGGCGGCGAGCGGGCGGCUCCCGGGCGCAGGGGAGGCCGCGGCGGCGUCGGGGCCGCGCCCCUCGGAGCCGCGGGUGCAGCCGGGCCCGGCGGGCGGCCCCAGCCCCGGGCGCCUCGCCGACCCUCCCGGGCGCGGGAGCGGGCGACUUACCUGGCCCGCGGCGGCGGCGGCGGCGGCGGCUGCGGGCGCGGGGUCGGAGGCGCUCGGGCGGCGGCGGCAGCGCCCGGGAGGGCGGGAGCGAGGGAGGGAGGCGGCCGCGGAGGAGGAGCUCCGGCGCCGAGCGAGCCGGCGGGCGGGCGGGCGGCUUUGUUUCCACAGCGCCGAGCCGCCGACCCUGCGUCACCAUGGCAACGCCAGGGGCCCCGGGCCCAAUGGGGACCCCCGGGUACCCGGAGUCCGGGACCCGCCGGCCUGCCGCCACCGGCGCCCGAAGCCCCGCCCCUCUCCUGAGCAGUCUGGGUGCUCCGAGGGCACCAGGACCCCCAAGGAGCCGCCACCACCACAAACACACCCCUCUGUCUCCCUCCCCACGUCGUUUGUCUCGCCCCAGCAAGAAGGGGAAAGAAGCGCAAGCCCAGGGCAAAUUCUGAUUUCCAUCCUAGUAGGCACUCCCUUUGGUGUCCCAAACUGGCCCUCCAGAAGACCCCCAUCGCACCUUUCUUCGGUGGAGCUGCACCCUCAAAAUGCAAAUUCACUGAAGAGAGAAGAAAGAGCAGUGCAAACUGAGAAAGUGUUGAGCAACUGGUACUCGGUGCUCCUGUGGCCACUCCCGCAGCAUGCGCGGAGCUGCCCGGGGACGCCGUACCUCUCCUCCUCCUCCCUCUUCUUCCAAGCUUCGCCUCAGCUGAGCUGGUCUCACGCCACCCAAAUCGUGUAUCAGUCCUGUUGA